CUGGCUCAGGAUGAACGCUGGCGGCGUGCUUCAUACAUGCAAGUCGAACGAGAAUUGGUAGCUGCUACCAAGGAAAGUAGGCGGACGGGUGAGUAAUACAUAGGGAAGUCUGCCCUUAGCCGGGGGACGAACAGUUGGAAACGACUGCUAAUACCGCAUAUGAGUAUAGUUGAGAUAUUAUACUUGAAAACUCCGGUGGCUAAGGAUGAGCCUGUGCCUGAUUAGUUAGUUGGCGGGUAAAGGCCCACCAAGGCGACGAUCAGUAGCUGGUUUGAGAGGAUGAUCAGCCACAAUGGGACUGAGACACGGCCCAUACUCCUACGGGAGGCAGCAGUAGGGAAUUUUGCGCAAUGGGCGAAAGCCUGACGCAGACCAACGCCGCGUGUGUGAUGAACGCCCCUAGGGGUGUAAAACACUGUCAGUGGGGACGAAAGAUGACGGUACCCACAGAGGAAGCACCGGCUAACUCCGUGCCAGCAGCUGC
rnacentral:rRNA from 1 species